AACACAUACCCCCUUCGGGAAAAGAAAAAAAAUAAUUAAAGGUGCAAAGGAGACCCGAUGCUUUUUUUAUUAAGGGUCGAAAGUAAUAAGUGUCGACGGUGGCGGAUUUACUUUCGUCAGGUAAGUAGCAGAAAUGGCGGUCGGCAGCAACCUCGACUACAUUAUUUUCCUCUCUCUCUCCAUUCGGCCCUGUUUCUAACUCUCUCUUUUUUAUCCUUCUCCGCUUCAUCCCUUCCUCCGUCUACCUUUAUACUUUCUUUCUCUCUCUCUCUUUCCAUUCGUAUUCAACUUUCUCCUCAUCCCUCUCCUCCGCUUGCCGUCAAUAGUUCAUCUCUCUUUCUUUCCCUCUCACUUCAUUCGGUUCUCUUCUAACUUUCUCUUCCUCAUCCCUUUACUCCAGUUGAUUUACAUUCCUUUCUUUCUCUCUCUCCUCUUCCUCUUACUAUCCUCCCUCUCAUUAACUCCUAAGCUUUCACCACUGUAUCCCAAUCACAAUUACCUGCUGCUCAACCCUCCCUUCCUUUCUCUCUCUCUUUACCAUGUUACUUAUCUCCCUCCCUCUCUCAAAUUCUUUAUCUGUCUUCAGGCAACCGCUUUCCUCACCCUUCUCUCCUUUAAACUCCCAUCGCUAACCUUAAUCACUUCUCUUUAUCACUCGCAUUUCUUUUCCCUUCUCCAGUUCUUAUCUUAGCCUCUUUUCUUUUCCUCACACCUUACUCCACUUCCUAUCUGACUUAGUCUCUUUCCCUUUUCCUCCUACCACCUCUCAACUUUGUCAACCAUCCUAAUGGAGCCAGUCUGGCAUUCACCCUCCUACCCCCUCUCUCUCUUACACAUAUUCACUCCCACCCCCGUGAUUCCGUUACUCAAUGCUUCCUCUCGGACUUUCUCUUCUUCCUACUAAGAACAUUUCUUCUCAACCACAUUUCUCUCUCAUUUCUACAUUUUCCUUUAUUAAUAAUAUAUCGUCACCUGUAAUCAUUUCUUUCCUCUCUCUUUUUUUUUUUGUUGUUUAUUUUCAUCACAUCUAUUCAAGUUAAACCAACUUUUAAAAUUGUUUAAAUUAGCACUUCUCAAUCGGAUAAUCAUUCACAUGACCUUUUCCUCUGAUUCUUUGAACCUUUAUCUCUCUCUCUCUCUCUCUCUUCCCUUCUAUCCAUCUCCCCUCAUAUAUAUUAUUUUCCCCCCUCUAUCCAUCCAUCCACCCCCUAUCAUUUUUAUAUUUUCGGCUACACUGGCCUCGUUUCGUUUUUUCAUACUUUUUUCUUCAUUACAAUUUCAUUCUUCCUUUCUUUCACCUUUCUCUUAGAGAAGUCAGUCAAUCAAUUUACUGAUGUUUUUCAAUUGGGCCAGUAGCAGCAGUAGUAGUAAUAAGCCAGCUUGCAGAGAGAGAGAGAAGAGAAGAGAAGAGAGGCAGGAUGAUGAUGAUGGGAGCGGUGAUGGCGGUGCAAAUAAUAAUAAUCUGAAAUAAAAGAAAAGAGAGAGAGAGACUACAAUAAAUAUGUUUAGAGGGGGAAUAAGAACAAACAAGGACUUUAAUAGAAGAGUUCAGAUGAAGACGAAGAAGAAGAAAGUUCUCCCUUGCUCGGAACAGAACAAGGCGGGUAAGCCGAUGUCACGCUUUUUUAUUGGUCCAUUUCCUAGUCACGUGGAGCCACGAGCGGCUUUCGUCGUCGUUGUUGACCCCAAUGUAAAGAACCGGAAGUCGUCCCGUCCACCAAACAUGGCAGAUGCUCGCUCAUUUCUUUACCCAUUCACCACCCAUUCUCUCUCUUUCUCUCUCUCUUUCUCUCCCUCCGCUCCACAGUCGUACCUCUCAAUUUAAUCACCCACCCUAAUCUCUGUAUAAUUUUACUUUCUUCUCUUGAUGAUAUCGCAUCAUUGUCAUCCAACUUGUACUCUUCUUCACCUUAGCCGCACCUCUAUCCUAUCUCUCUUCCGACCCCACCUAACCGCUCGAUCCUCUCUUGUCACCCCUAUAACCUACCCCGUCUCUCUUUCUUUCGCAUCCUUAGUAACCCUACCAUCCCCCACCCCUAUUAAUAUACCACCUUACCUUACACUUUUCUUUCCAUCCUAUCUAUUUCUCCUAAAAAAAACACUUCUUAUUCUCUUUUGCCAGGAGAAACAGCGAAGAAGAGGAACACACGAGGGGGAGAUAACUGUCUGCCGUUUGUUUUGUUUGUUAGUGAAUUAACCGAUUGUCGGAAGAGAAAGAGAAACCCAAGUCUUAUCGGCUCUUUAUACCCAGUCAGUCAGUCAAUCAGCCGACGAAGGAACCCGAC
rnacentral:lncRNA from 1 species